AUUGAACGCUGGCGGCAUGCCUUACACAUGCAAGUCGAACGGUAACGGGCCUUCGGGUGCCGACGAGUGGCGAACGGGUGAGUAAUGCAUCGGAACGUACCUUUCAGUGGGGGAUAACGUAGCGAAAGUUACGCUAAUACCGCAUAUUCUGUGAGCAGGAAAGCAGGGGAUCGCAAGACCUUGCGCUGAUUGAGCGGCCGAUGUCAGAUUAGCUAGUUGGUGAGGUAAAGGCUCACGAAGGCGACGAUCUGUAGCGGGUCUGAGAGGACGAUCAGCCACACGGGGACGGGGACACGGCCCAGACUCCUCCGGGGGGCAGCAGUGGGGAAUUUUGGACAAUGGGCGAAAGCCUGAUCCAGCAAUGCCGCGUGUGUGAAGAAGGCCUUCGGGUUGUAAAGCUCUUUUGUCCGGAAAGAAAUGGCUCUGGUUAAUACCUGGGGUCGAUGACGGUACCGGAAGAAUAAGGACCGGCUAACUACGUGCCAGCCGCCGCCGUAACAC
rnacentral:rRNA from 1 species